rnacentral:lncRNA from 1 species
ACCAGGUGAAUUGCUUUUGGGUCUCGACUCUCGAGUCUCUCGACUUGUAUAUUAGUCGGGGUUUCUGCUUUUACUUUUUGCCUAGGCCAAGACUUUAGAGCAUUGUUUUGUCAAUUUCGCAAGUUGCAGGAGAAGUUCGAUCUUUUCCAGUAUGGCUAAUGAGUUACGGUUGCGAAUUUUAGAAGAAUAAUCUUUCAUAUCAUAUUACAGAUACACG